rnacentral:rRNA from 1 species
CCUACGGGAGGCUGCAGUCGAGAAUCAUUCACAAUGGGGGAAACCCUGAUGGUGCGACGCCGCGUGGGGGAAUGAAGGUCUUCGGAUUGUAAACCCCUGUCAUGUGGGAGCAAAUUAAAAAGAUAGUACCACAAGAGGAAGAGACGGCUAACUCUGUGCCAGCAGCCGCGGUAAUACAGAGGUCUCAAGCGUUGUUCGGAAUCACUGGGCGUAAAGCGUGCGUAGGCUGUUUCGUAAGUCGUGUGUGAAAGGCGCGGGCUCAACCCGCGGACGGCCCAUGAUACUGCGAGACGAGAGGAAUGGAGGGGGAACCGGAAUUCUCGGGGUAGCAGUGAAAUGCGUAGAUAGCGAGAGGAACACUCGUGGCGAAGGCGGGUUCCUGGACAUUAACUGACGCUGAGGCACGAAGGCCAGGGGAGCGAAAGGGAUUAGAUACCCUUGUAGUC